UACGUAGGGGGCUAGCGUUGUCCGGAAUCAUUGGGCGUAAAGCGCGCGUAGGCGGCCUGGUAAGUCCGCUGUGAAAGUCAAAGGCUCAACCUUUGAAUGUCCGCGGAUACUGCCAGGCUAGAGUCCGGAAGAGGCGAGUGGAAUUCCUGGUGUAGCGGUGGAAUGCGCAGAUAUCAGGAGGAACACCAACGGCGAAGGCAGCUCGCUGGGACGGUACUGACGCUGAGGCGCGAAAGCGUGGGGAGCGAACAGG
rnacentral:rRNA from 1 species